AACGAACGCUGGCGGCAUGCCUAACACAUGCAAGUCGAACGAGACCUUCGGGUCUAGUGGCGCACGGGUGCGUAACGCGUGGGAACCUGCCCUUAGGUUCGGAAUAACUCCCUUUAAGGGGUGCUAAUACAGGAUAAUGUCUUCGGACCAAAGAUUUAUCGCCUUUGGAUGGGCCCGCGUUGGAUUAGCUAGUUGGUAGGGUAAAAGCCUACCAAGGCGACGAUCCAUAGCUGGUCUGAGAGGAUGAUCAGCCACACUGGGACUGAGACACGGCCCAGACUCCUACGGGAGGCAGCAGUGGGGAAUAUUGGACAAUGGGCGAAAGCCUGAUCCAGCAAUGCCGCGUGAGUGAUGAAGGCCUUAGGGUUGUAAAGCUCUUUUACCCGGGAUGAUAAUGACAGUACCGGGAGAAUAAGCUCCGGCUAACUCCGUG
rnacentral:rRNA from 1 species